rnacentral:misc_RNA from 1 species
CACAAAGAACUCGCACGGUGCCCCUCCCCCCCCACCGCCCACUCCUCUCUCCACCCUAAUCAACCGUCUUGCGUGUGUGCGCGCGCGCAGAGAUCCGUGCUUUCCUCUUCUAUAGUACUCAUGUCGCAGACGGCGACUGCUGGGCCUGCCCCACCCCCGCCAGAGGAGCCGUUGACGUACCCCAUCACAUUCGCAAAGGUAGCGAAGGAAAGUCCCCAGUCGGAGCCCGGGGUCGCCGCGCCAGCGGCCUCCUCCGGCCUUCACCAAAUCACGAUCUUCAGCGCGCUGCACUGGCUUCUGCCGGUCUAUGAGCUCGCCGGGUGGCUCCCGAAGACGACUGUGCAGCACAGCAGGAAGAGUGGGGAUAAGAGCAGCCUCGUCUCAGCCACAGCCGGUGGCAGCAAGAGCACCAGUGCCACUGCAGCAGACGGGUCUUUCGACCUCGACGCAAUUCCGCAUGAUGACGUCCGUGCCGCCUUGAGGCUACUCCCCGUCUUCGAGAAGUUUUUUGUCGAGGGCAGCAAGAUCAUUCCGCAGCACACGGACCUGUGCUACUUCAUCGAGUCCUUUACCCUGCCGACGCCGAAGGGGCCUAAGGUAAUCACCCGCUCCAAGGUCGAGGGAGACUAUCGCGCCGUCCACCAGCCCUCUCACGCGCCGGCGUCUCUUGGCGCCGCAGGGGCCAUGACGGAGACAACCGUCACGAACAGCACGGCGUACUUCUCUCUGCUGCCCGGCCACAAUCAGUUUCUUCUCUACUACGAGGACUGCGAGAAGCUGCGGCGCUUCACGUACCUGCAGCUGGACCAGCUACGCUUCGCGUGGGUCGCCGUCAAGGAGCUGUUGGAGGAAAGCAAGGUGUUCAACCUCAGCGAUGGCAGCCUCACGGGGUUGGCGAAGCGCGACCUCCAGAAGAACAACGCCGCGUCUCCGUUCUGCCUUGCCUCAUCCGCGCCAGCAGCCGCAGCAACGGAGAGUGCUGCAGGUAACGGCAACGGCAGCAAUGGUGGCGCGGUUAUCGGCCGCGGCGGUGGCAACGCACGCCUGCGUCAGGGCACAAGCGGCAACGUCAUCAUCGCCCCCAGCAGGGAAGCGACAGAGGAGAAGAAGCGCAUCCAGCAGAUGCGCUUCUUGCGCGAGGAGCUGGAGAGCGAGUGCCAACGGCGCUGGCCGUACACGCCAGUCUCGAAGAGCUGCAUCUUUAGCUUAGAGGAGAAGAUCGAGGCGGAACUGCCGGCUGACGCGCUGGAGCAGCUCGGCAUUGUCGGUGCGCACAACACCAAGAACAGCAAAAACGGCAACCGCCGAGGACCGCGCUACUACCUCGCCACCGUUGAUCUGCCUUUGCUCAAUAAAAAGGGUGGUGCUGCCCGCUUCAAGUCCCCGAGGUGGUGGAACAACCGGCGCGACGCCGAGAGCGCCGCGGCGGAGGCAACGUUGCUGGCGCUGCGCAGCAUGAAGUCUUAACGACGAGUGUGAUGCAGUGUGUUUAUGUUGUGAAGGUGCGCCGAGUGGAGCUGCUGGAGCCCGCGUCUGUGAGUGUGUCUACGCAGCGUAUGUUCGCUUCGUAGGAUAAGUGCGCAGUCGCCUCCGCGCCGCAACCGUCUGGCCAAAGUAGCAGAUCGGCGCGCACGGAAAGAGAGAGAGAGACGAAAUACGCAGGUGCCGUGACUGGAAACACGAGGAUCAUCGUUACAGUGCGAGGGUCCUCUUCUAAGCCGCGCCGUGUCUGCUGCAGCAGCAGCGCCUGUAGCUCUACCAGUGCAUUUCUACGAAUCAUGCCCACGCUUUCUCUCGGAUGGAGCGCUGCUAUGCGUAUGUACGUCUCUCAGCGCGCCAGCCGUCCUCGCCCUCGCCCUCGCCCGCGCAUGUUUUUGUCUUCUGCUCUGCGGCAACUCGAGCGGCCGUGGAGCAAGCAGGGACAUAAUGAGGAGGCUCGACGCUAAUUUGGUGGGGGAGGAGGGACUUUGUGCGAUGCAGAGCGGAUAACUAUCAAAUCCGGGCGUGUAUGUUCGCUAGUGCCGUGUUGCCAUCCUCCACUCGUGCUCUCUUCAUCGCCCUCCCCUUCUACCUCUGCUCACCCUCCGCUGCAUCCGCCACCAUUACAG